rnacentral:lncRNA from 1 species
UGGAGAAACAACUUGUUGUAGGUUACAGAUUCAGAAACUAGAUCUACAAACAUAAAUCAUAAGAAAAGAUUUGAUCCUCGAAAAAAAAGACUAAUGAGGCAAGCCUCCUAACCUCCGGUCACCGGCGACUUUGAGGGAAAGCCAAAGAAGCAUUAGCUUCUAGCCUUCCAUAUUAUUAAUAAAUAUCGGCCCUGAUUUCAUUAACAUGUCACAUUGCAUUUGUGUAGGGGGCUAGGUUCAAACUAUGGUGGCAGCCUAUUUUUUAUAUUUUUGCUUCCAGCCUUCUGAAAGUCAAGACCGGUGCUGUGAAUAAGUUAGGGUUUCCGAUUCCAAUCCUAGAUCCGCCACCAUAUGCCUUCCGAGUCACCAUCAGAGUCGUCUCCGCAGCUAAAGAUGUCGACUUCAUGACAAAGACUCAACUCCAUCCUAGGUGAACGCAAAAUAUAUUUGAGAGAGAAAGUUGAGCCGUGCGUGAAAUCUACUAGUGAUAUUCAAUGACAGAUAUUAUUUCAAUAAUAAAAAAAUAGAUAAUUUAUAUAAUAUUAGUGAAAUCUUUUUAUAUAGACAACACCAUUCAUAUAUAUUACAUGAUGUGAAUUCAAUCUUUGGGGACUAUGGGCUUCAGUCCGGAACAUCCUAUUAUUCAAAUAUAUAUAUAUAUAUGUGUGUAUAUAUAUAUAAGUAAUAGACUAUAAACAAAAUAUAAUUUAUGUAAUGCAAGUGAAAGUUUGAAUUUCUGGAUUUAUACACAUUAUACUACUCAUUCCGUUUCUUAAAGAGUGUUAUUUUAACUUUUUUUUAUUACAUAAAAAGUAUCGUUUUAGAUUUUCAAUGCAGUUUUUACUUAUUUUCAGCUAAUAUUAAUUAUAAAAUGCAUUGAUCUAAUAAAUAAAUUUAUUUAUCUUAAAUAUCAUUGGUCAAUAAUAUGUAAUUAAUAAAAACAUAAAUACAUUUCAACCAUUUUUUUAAUAUGCGUGAAAAAUAUGUAAGUGAUACUUAUAACGAAACCGAAAGAGUAUUGUAUAAAGAACUGUUACAUACACCUACCGUCAUCUUUAGUGGUACCGAAUGUCUGAAUCUAUAAUUUUAUUAUGUUGAUCGUAACUAAACAUCCAUGAAAUAAGAAAAUUGUAUGUCGAUCCUAAAUUAAAUUAACGUUAAAUACCACAAUGAUGUGUUAUUUAAAAUAUUUUUUAUUCAAGAAAAAUUGUCAGUCACAAAAGUAUUGAAAUCGGCUGAAAGAUCACUAGAUUGUCAAAAUACAUUUUUAGGUUACGAAACGAUAAUUGCUAAAAUCGUAAAAGAAACUUUAUUGCUGGUGUCGUCUAUUAGAAAUAUCUUUUAAAUUUACGAUCUAUCUAUCAUUUUUAUAUGAAAGUAAAUCAGCUAUAUUUUUUUUCAUUUUUACGCUGUCUUCUUUUACUCGUUAAGCCGAAUUUUUUCUUGGUUAUUGGGCACUGAAUAUAUCAGACUAAUUUUGUCAUUUGGUAAACUUGGAGUAGAUAACGAAAUCCACCUCCAGUAGAGCACAUCUGCAAAUCUAGCGAAUUUUUAUUGUCGUAUUCUUAUCCGAGAGUAAUAUAUAUCAAUAAUUAGGUCUGGGACAGAUUCGGAUAUCCGAGAAAUUCAACGGAUCCGGAUCUGAUUGUUUGAAUCAUACUCUUAAAACACAAAAGUGUUUAAAGAUGUACCUAGUAACUAAUGUUUUACAUUAAAACUCUUAAUCCUCACAGUAGUAUUAAUGAAAAUUUAACUAAGACAAAAAAAAAUUGCCAACGACCAAUGACAAGUAGCCUAAGAGGUUUUAUUUGUGCAGUUGGUACAUCAUUCCCAUAGUUCAAACAAAUUUAUUACUCCAUGUUAUCGGAAAAAUAGAUUUUUUUUAAUUAUAAUACAUUAAUUUUUUCAACCCAAAAAUGAGAAUCAAAACAAUAACUUCCGGUACACUGGAGUCUCUGGAGAAACAACUUGUUGUAGGUUACAGAUUCAGAAACUAGAUCUACAAACAUAAAUCAUAAGAAAAGAUUUGAUCCUCGAAAAGAAAGACUAAGGAGGCAAGCCUCCUAACCUCCGGUCACCGGCGACACCAACCAGUUCCGGUAAUUCGGAUAAGUUAGGGUUUCCAAUUUCAAUCCUAGAUCCGCCACCAUCUGCCUUCAGAGUCACCUUCAGAGUCGUCUCCGCGGUUAAAGACGUUGACUUCAUGACAAAGACUCAACUCCAUCUUAGGCGAACGCGAAAUAUAUUUAAGAGAGAAAGUUGAGCCGUGCGUGAGAUCUACUAGCGAUAUUCAAAGACAUAUAUGAUUUUAAUAAUAAAAAAUAGAUAGUUUAUAUAAUAUUAGUGAAAUCUUUUUAUAUAGACAACACCAUUACAUGAUGUGAAUUCGAACUUUGGGGACUAUGGGCUUCGGUCC